GAUGUUAAUAGUGGGAAGCAGCUAUCAAAAUAGCAAAAUUUGGAUAGUUUUGAGCAGCAUGCUGUUUAAUUGGGCGGGUUUUGUUUUGCAAUUUCUUCAUGACUUUUCUUCUCUUUGAUGGAGGUCUUGACCCUGUUAUAAAAAAGUGGGAAAAUAGUAAGUGUUAAUGUUGAUGAAUGGGGAAAAUCGAGUUAGGACAAUAAUCAUAAACAUCUAAUUAUGUAUAAACAGGAAUAAUAUAAUUUAACAAUUUAAUAAGAAAGUUAUAAAUGGUUUUCCAACUGAGGAAACACAAAGUAACGAAAGUAAGAGAACUAAUGGUUUUCCAUACUUAGAUCCUCUGCAGUCCAACAUGCCUCUAUUGAACCAGCUCAUGAUAAGGGAGUACAAGAAACUCAAGAGACAUGCUUUGAGACUCAACCUUCAUAUACCCAAGGAUUAAGUGCUGGGAAAAAAAAAGGCAGAGGGAAGGCCAAGGGAGGAAAAGGAAAGGGUAUGCUGAUUGAAAUAUAUAAGGGAAGGUGCGUGGAAUUGGAAGAAAAUCAUGGGCAUUUGAAAGAGGAAUUGAAUGAUGUCAAAAGUCAAUUGAACACUUUGCAACAACAAGUUCAAAUGCUGAUUAACAAUAACCCACAAAAUUCUGCUCACUGUGCAAGGCAAUCACCUAAUGCGGACAAUGUUGCAAGUUGUUCUGAUGCUUAUCUUAGUGACAAUGUCGUGGAGGAGCCCAACUAGUUCUUUUAUCAUCUCCCAAAUACAUUUUAUUUAGUAAUGUCAGACUUAGAAACUAUAUUCAAAUUUAAGAAUUUGGAGACAUA